CGCAUCUGUGCAUGCAGCAUAUCAAUAAGCGGAGGAAAAGAAACUAACAAGGAUUCCCCUAGUAACGGCGAGUGAAGCGGGAAGAGCUCAAAUUUGAAAUCUUAAAGGGUUUCCCUUUACGAAUUGUAGUUUAAAGAAGUGUUUUCUGUUGAGGUUUUGGUAAAAGUUCUUUGGAAUAGGACAUCAUAGAGGGUGAGAAUCCCGUAUUUGACCUUUACUUUCAACUUUGUGAUACACUUUCAAAGAGUCGGAUUGUUUGGGAAUGCAGUCCAAAAUGGGUGGUAAAUUUCAUCUAAAGCUAAAUAUUGGCGAGAGACCGAUAGCGAACAAGUACCGUGAGGGAAAGAUGAAAAGAACUUUGAAAAGAGAGUUAAACAGUACGUGAAAUUGUCAAAAGGGAAGCGUUUGACACCAGUGUUGUUUUUCUGAAAAUCAAUUAAAGAACUGUUUAUGCUAAGCUGUUUAGACUUUAUCAGCUAUCUGUUUAGUUUUGAGCUUUUCUUUAAUGCACUUUUCAGUUAACAAGUCAACAUCAAUUUCUUUUGCUGUAAAAAAGCUUGAGGAAGGUGGCUUGAGAUUCGUCUCAAGUGUUUAUAGCCUCUUGCCUAUGCAGUCGGAGAGAUUGAGGUCUGCAGCGUAGAUCCUUCGGGGCUAAAUGCAUUUGUGCUAAGUUAUAACAUUUCAUAGACAACUUGUUGACUAUGAUUUGUCUUGUAGCUUACUCGCUUAUGUUAUUUUACCUACGCUUAGGAUGUUGACAGCAGUAUAGACUGU
rnacentral:rRNA from 1 species